rnacentral:rRNA from 1 species
CCUACGGGAGGCAGCAGUGAGGAAUAUUGGUCAAUGGGCGCGAGCCUGAACCAGCCAAGUCGCGUGAGGGAUGACGGUCCUACGGAUUGUAAACCUCUUUUGCCAGGGAGCAAGCGUGCGUUCGUGAACGCGCAUCGAGAGUACCCGAAGAAAAAGCAUCGGCUAACUCCGUGCCAGCAGCCGCGGUAAUACGGAGGAUGCGAGCGUUAUCCGGAUUUAUUGGGUUUAAAGGGUGCGUAGGCGGGAUGCCAAGUCAGCGGUAAAAGUGCGGUGCUCAACGCCGUCGAGCCGUUGAAACUGGCGUUCUUGAGUGGGCGAGAAGUAUGCGGAAUGCGUGGUGUAGCGGUGAAAUGCAUAGAUAUCACGCAGAACUCCGAUUGCGAAGGCAGCAUACCGGCGCCCUACUGACGCUGAGGCACGAAAGCGUGGGUAUCGAACAGGAUUAGAUACCCCAGUAGUC